AUGGAUAUGGCUCAGUGGUAGAGUGCUUGCCUAGCAUGCAUGAGGCCCUGGGUUCAAUCCCCAGUAUCACAUA
rnacentral:tRNA from 1 species